rnacentral:rRNA from 1 species
AUCGAACGCUGGCGGCAGGCCUAACACAUGCAAGUCGAGCGGAGCGGCGGACGGGUGAGUAAUGCCUAGGAAUCUGCCUGGUAGUGGGGGAUAACGUCCGGAAACGGGCGCUAAUACCGCAUACUAUCAGAUGAGCCUAGGUCGGAUUAGCUAGUUGGUGGGGUAAAGGCCUACCAAGGCGACGAUCCGAAAGUGGUCUGAGAGGAUGAUCAGUCAAACUGGAAAUUAGGCACGGGCCAAACUCCUACGGGAGGCAACAGUGGGGAAUAUUGGACAAUGGGCGAAAGCCUGAGCCAGCCAUGGCGCGUGGGUGAAGGAGGUCUUCGGAUUGUAAAGCACUUUAAGUUGGGAGGCGUUACCAACAGAAUAAGCACCGGGUAACUUCGUGGCAGGAGGCGCGGUAAUUC